GGCUGAGUACCCAAGUGGCCAAAGGGGGGAGCCUGCAAAGCUCCUAAGCGUGAGUUCAAAUCUCACCUCAGCCU
rnacentral:tRNA from 2 species